GUGAGAUGUUGGGUUAAGUCCCGCAACGAGCGCAACCCUCAUUUUUAGUUGCCAAUUUAUUGGGAUUUCUAGAGAGACUGCCGGUGACAAACCGGAGGAAGGUGAGGAUGACGUCAAGUCAGCAUGCCCCUUAUGCCCUGGGCCACACACGUGCUACAAUGGCGAAGACAAAGAGUCGCAAACCUGCGAAGGCUAGCUAAUCUCGUAAACUUCGUCUAAGUUCGGAUUGCAGGCUGCAACUCGCCUGCAUGAAGUUGGAAUCGCUAGUAAUCGCUGGUCAGCUAUACAGCGGUGAAUUCGUUCCCGGGCCUUGUACACACCGCCCGUCACACC
rnacentral:rRNA from 1 species